UACGUAGGGCGCAAGCGUUGUCCGGAAUUAUUGGGCGUAAAGAGCUCGUAGGUGGCUUGUCACGUCGGGUGUGAAAGCUUGGGGCUUAACUCCAGGUCUGCAUUCGAUACGGGGCUGGCUAGAGGUAGGUAGGGGGAGAACGGAAUUCCUGGUGUAGCGGUGAAAAUGCGCAGAUAUCAGGAGGAACACCGGUGGCGAAGGCGGUUCUCUGGGCAUUACCUGACGCUGAGGAGCGAAAGUGUGGGGGAGCGAACAGG
rnacentral:rRNA from 1 species